rnacentral:rRNA from 1 species
CGUAACGCGUAUGCAACCUACCUUGUACUGGGGAAUAGCCCGUGGAAACAUGGAUUAAUACCCCAUAAUUUUAUCUAAUCACCUGGUUGGAUAAUUAAAGUUUCGACGGUACAAGAUGGGCAUGCGUAUGAUUAGCUAGAUGGUGAGGUAACGGCUCACCAUGGCAACGAUCAUUAGCGGGUCUGAGAGGAUGAUCCGCCACACUGGUACUGAGACACGGACCAG